GACGAACGCUGGCGGCGUGCUUAACACAUGCAAGUCGAACGGAAAGGCCCUGCUUGCAGGGUGCUCGAGUGGCGAACGGGUGAGUAACACGUGGGUGAUCUGCCCCUUACUUUGGGAUAAGCCUGGGAAACUGGGUCUAAUACUGGAUAGGGCCAUGCUGUAGGUGGUGUGGUGGAAAGAUUAGUUUCGGUAAGGGAUGAGCUCGCGGCCUAUCAGCUUGUUGGUGGGGUAAUGGCCUACCAAGGCGUCGACGGGUAGCCGGCCUGAGAGGGUGGACGGCCACAUUGGGACUGAGAUACGGCCCAGACUCCUACGGGAGGCAGCAGUGGGGAAUAUUGCACAAUGGGGGCAAGCCUGAUGCAGCGACGCCGCGUGGGGGAUGACGGCCUUCGGGUUGUAAACUCCUUUCAGCCAUGACGAAGCCCUUGUGGUGACGGUAGUGGUAGAAGAAGCACCGGCUAACUACGUG
rnacentral:rRNA from 1 species